rnacentral:rRNA from 1 species
GAUGAACGCUAGCGGCAGGCUUAACACAUGCAAGUCGAGGGGUAAGGUAGCAAUAUCUGAGACCGGCGCACGGGUGCGUAACGCGUAUGCAAUCUACCUUUCACAGAGGGAUAGCCCAGAGAAAUUUGGAUUAAUACCUCAUAGUAUAAUGAUUUGGCAUCAAGACAUUAUUAAAGUCACAACGGUGAAAGAUGAGCAUGCGUCCCAUUAGCUAGUUGGUAUGGUAACGGCAUACCAAGGCGACGAUGGGUAGGGGUCCUGAGAGGGAGAUCCCCCACACUGGUACUGAGACACGGACCAGACUCCUACGGGAGGCAGCAGUGAGGAAUAUUGGACAAUGGGCGCAAGCCUGAUCCAGCCAUGCCGCGUGCAGGAAGACGGUCCUAUGGAUUGUAAACUGCUUUUGUACAGGAAGAAACACUCCCUCGUGAGGGAGCUUGACGGUACUGUAAGAAUAAGGAUCGGCUAACUCCGUGCC